rnacentral:rRNA from 1 species
GAUGAACGCUGGCGGCGUGCCUAAUACAUGCAAGUCGAGCGAACAGACGAGGAGCUUGCUCCUCUGACGUUAGCGGCGGACGGGUGAGUAACACGUGGAUAACCUACCUAUAAUACUGGGAUAACUUUGGGAAACCGGAGCUAAUACCGGAGAAUAUAUUGAACCGCAUGGUUCAAUAGUUAAAGACGGUUUUGCUGUCACUUAUAGAUGGUUCCGCGCCGCAUUAGCUAGUUGGUAAGGUAACGGCUUACCAAGGCGACGAUGCGUAGCCGACCUGAGAGGGUGAUCGGCCACACUGGAACUGAGACACGGUCCAGACUCCUACGGGAGGCAGCAGUAGGGAAUCUUCCGCAAUGGGCGAAAGCCUGACGGAGCAACGCCGCGUGAGUGAUGAAGGUCUUCGGAUCGUAAAACUCUGUUAUUAGGGAAGAACAAAUGUGUAAGUAACUAUGCACGUCUUGACGGUACCUAAUCAGAAAGCAACGGCUAACUACGUG